rnacentral:lncRNA from 1 species
AUGGGAUGCUGUGUCAGGAAUCACAGGGGGGAUGCAGGUGGUACAGGGCGGUGCUGUCAAUACUCUGCUAACAAAACAACCUUAGAUACUAAUGUAUUUAACCCUUCCCCACCUCAAAUUCUACUUUAAUACCAAGAACCCUUUUUCUGCUGAGGGCACUCAUUUCCCACCUCCUGCCACAGGUCACCUGGUUUGGAGAUUUGUUCUGAGCUCCUACCUGACUCCUGGUGUCCACAGUGCUGCUCUGGCUGCAUAUCCUUCCUCUGUCCCACCCCAUGGUGAAAAUGUGUCCACAGUGAACAGGAAUGAGACCUGCAUGGUGUGGACCGUCCAGGGAGGCAGGCCGGAAAAGCAGGUGGAGACCUGGUGCCUGUCUUCCUGGGCAGUGAUCCCUCAUACGUGCCCACCUUCCUGGGUACCUGCAGAGCUUUUGCCACCAACCAAUAGCACUUGACCUGCUGUUCAAAAAUGUGGAUGCAUCCUCCCUUACUCUGAUGAGGAUGGCAGACCCCUAGACCAACUGAAAAAAUACUCAUGGAGAACUGACUGUGUCAGCAAGUGCAGUGAAUGAGCAGACAUCUCUCCCUGUCCUCAUGGAGUUGACGUACCAGUGGGGAGUGUCGGGGAGACAGAUAGACCAGUGUGUCAGGCUUCCCUGAAGAAGAAGAGAGAGCUCAACAUGCCCUGCUUGGACCUAGAGUGCCAUGCCUACCUCCUCCUGGCAAAAACCUAGAGCUUCAUGAGUCCAUUGAUGCCAAGGCACCAGCUCCACAACAAGCCCUAGAACCACUUCAAGAGCUAGCACCAGCUCCAACUCAACUGCCCACUACAGCUCCAGAGCCAGAUCAGACUCAGGCCCAGUUUUCGUUUAAGCUCUAGAGCUAGAAGAAGCAUGUACGCAGGCUCCAAUUCCAGAGCCAGAGGAAUUCAAGCAACAGCUCUCACCCAAGCUCCAUAGCUAGAACCAUCACAAAAACCUGUUCUAGUAUUUGCUCCAGAACUCUAGCCACUUCCGUCCAUAGCCUCGAUUCCAGAGCUUAAGCCUACACCAGCAAGAGCCCUACCAUUAGUUCUUGAGCUCCAUAGUGCUUUGGCACAGCUCCAGCUCCAGAGCGUAAUCUGGUUCCAGCUCUAGAUCUAGAGACAACAAUAGACCCAGUUCUUAUAGUUACUCCAGUGCCAGAUCCAGUUCCUCCCCCAGUAUACUAGAGCUGGUACCAGCUCAACAACUAGCACCAGCCCCUGCAGCAUCUCCAGGUCCCGGUCCUUAGCUGCAACUAGUGCCAGCUGCAGCCCCAGAGACUUCCUUCCCCUCCCCUAUAAUUCCACUUUUUAAAAUUUUGUUUUUUUCUUAUAUAUACUCAAUAUUUUACUCUAUUCUAGUGUAUAAAAUUCCCUUAAAAU